rnacentral:rRNA from 1 species
CCUACGGGUGGCAGCAGUCGAGAAUCAUUCACAAUGGGGGAAACCCUGAUGGUGCGACGCAGCGUGGGGGAAUGAAGGUCUUCGGAUUGUAAACCCCUGUCAUGUGGGAGCAAAUUAAAAAGAUAGUACCACAAGAGGAAGAGACGGCUAACUCUGUGCCAGCAGCCGCGGUAAUACAGAGGUCUCAAGCGUUGUUCGGAAUCACUGGGCGUAAAGCGUGCGUAGGCUGUUUCGUAAGUCGUGUGUGAAAGGCGCGGGCUCAACCCGCGGACGGCAUAUGAUACUGCGAGACUAGAGUAAGGGAGGGGGAAGCGGAAUUCUCGGUGUAGCAGUGAAAUGCGUAGAUAUAGAGAGGAACACUCGUGGCGAAGGCGGGUUCCUGGACAUUAACUGACGCUGAGGCACGAAGGCCAGGGGAGCGAAAGGGAUUAGAUACCCCGGUAGUC